UGCUAUGGUGUGGGUCAUAGAGAACCUCA
rnacentral:piRNA from 1 species